UACGUAGGGUGCAAGCGUUGUCCGGAAUUAUUGGGCGUAAAGAGCUCGUAGGCGGUCUGUCACGUCGGAUGUGAAAACUCGGGGCUCAACCCCGAGCCUGCAUACGAUACGGGCAGACUUGAGUUCGGCAGGGGAGACUGGAAUUCCUGGUGUAGCGGUGAAAUGCGCAGAUAUCUGGAGGAACACCGGUGGCGAAGGCGACAUCCUGGACCGGUAUUGACGCUGAGGCGCGAAAGCCAGGGGAGCAAACGGG
rnacentral:rRNA from 1 species